rnacentral:snRNA from 1 species
GUACUCGCUUCGGUGGUAUAUAUACUAAAGUUGGAAGGAUACAGAGAAGAUUAGCAUGGUCUUGAGCAAGGAUGACACACAAAAUCGUGAAACGUUCCAUAUUUUU